AGGUGACAGCGGGCCAGGGAAGAAAUUUCAGAAUGCAAGACCAUCAAGUCAAGGAUGUUAAUUUUCUUCAAUGAGGUAUCUCCUGUGUCUGGAAUGAUAUAAGGCUCAUCCCAGAUGAUGAAUGAACAGUGAAUCUGUGGAGCUUCAGCGUCCUCACCUAAGAUGGGAAUAGCUAUGCCCAUCUCCCAAGAUUAUUGUGGAGAUCAGAUGUUAUGCGUACAAAGCAC
rnacentral:lncRNA from 1 species